AUUGAACGCUGGCGGCAUGCUUUACACAUGCAAGUCGAACGGUAACAGGGUGCUUGCACCGCUGACGAGUGGCGAACGGGUGAGUAAUGCGUCGGAACGUGCCGAGUAGUGGGGGAUAACGCAGCGAAAGUUGUGCUAAUACCGCAUACGUACUGAGGUAGAAAGUGGGGGACCUUCGGGCCUCACGCUAUUCGAGCGGCCGACGUCUGAUUAGCUAGUAGGUGAGGUAAAGGCUCACCUAGGCGACGAUCAGUAGCGGGUCUGAGAGGAUGAUCGGCAAGAGUGGGACGAGGACACGGCCUCGCCUCCUACGGGAGGCAGCAGUGGGGAAUUUUGGACAAUGGGCGAAAGCCUGAUCCAGCCAUGCCGCGUGUCUGAAGAAGGCCUUCGGGUUGUAAAGGACUUUUGUCAGGGAGGAAAUCCCUAGCGUUAAUACCGCUGGGGGAUGACAGUACCUGAAGAAUAAGCACCGGCUAACUACGUGCCAGCCGCCGCCGUAAAAC
rnacentral:rRNA from 1 species